UCAACUUUGGCGCAGUAGGUAGCGCAUCAGGCUCAGGAGCUUCAAGCUGAAGGUCCUGAGUUCGAUCCUCAGUAAAGGAG
rnacentral:tRNA from 1 species